UACGAAGGGGGCUAGCGUUGUUCGGAAUUACUGGGCGUAAAGGGCGCGUAGGCUGUGCUGUAAGUCAGGCGUGAAAGCCCCGGGCUCAACCUGGGAACUGCGCUUGAUACUGCGGCGCUGGAAGGUGGGAGAGGAUGGCGGAAUUCCCAGUGUAGAGGUGAAAUUCGUAGAUAUUGGGAAGAACACCGGUGGCGAAGGCGGCCAUCUGGCCCACAUUUGACGCUGAGGCGCGAAAGCGUGGGGAGCGAACAGG
rnacentral:rRNA from 1 species